CUCUUCCCAACUGUCACUCUGAGCUGAGCAUUUCAAAGUUGAUUUUGAGGCAAUUCUCAGCUCUCUACCUAGCGUCUUUGAAGAUGGGCAAUUGAUGCUGCUGCGAUGGCUGUAGCCUACAUCCGAAGGAAAGGGAGACCUCCUGAAGAGGAAAUGUGUCCACUCUCUGCCUCAUUUAUCUGAAUACAACCAGCACAGGCGAAUCCCAGGUGGAUCAGUGUCCAAGUGACAGCCUUCGUGAUCUUUUGGAAAUGAAAUGCCAGGAGAAGGGGGUAUUUUCUCUUAAGGAAGGUUUGCAACUGUGGUCAAUGUCUAGUUGAAGGACUCUAACUCCCAAAGCCCAGGUAAGGUCUGAGGAUCUCAAGGAAGAACAGGUGUUGACAGUGAUUCACAACGUGGCCUCAGCUGGAGUAGCAGGAACAUGGGGCCCCACUCUAUAAUCAUCUCCUCUCCAAGCUUGUGUCUCUAAGGAUUGGAUAUCGAGAACACAAUUACUGAAGAUGAAGAAUACUUAGCCUUGUCCUGCUCUUCAACUGGAGAUUUUUAUGAAGGAAGACAAAUGUGAAAAAAUGCCGUGAAGCACCGCUGAAACGGACCUUAUCAGGUCUAUGUAAAAAGAGCAAAUUAAACUCUAGGAGGUUCAAACUUUAACCAACUUAAAAAAAUUCAGAAUUGGACAGAAUAAGAAAGCUACUUAAACUGACUCCUCAGACAUCUCCUGGAAGAAGUCAGUUAUUGGAAAAAGGUAUGGACCCAAGACUUUCACCACAGGCAAACGAUGAUAGAUAAUGGGCAGCUUCCACCCAAGAUAAUGGGACAAGAUUAUCAUCUAAUUCAUUUCUAUUUUAUAUUAGCUCAGUUAAAAUAAUUCUUCUCACUUUCCACAGACCCCUUGUGGCCUUACAGCCAGAAUGACCCUUUUCUUCUUUUCAUACUUGCUAUACUAUUUAUAAUCAUUGUUAGGUCAGAACAUAGCCAUGCAGGUGCCAUGACUACCUGUUUUUCUGCCUAUGCCAUGCAUCACGGAAGUUCAUGGUAAAUCCCUCUGGAAAAUGUGGAUUUCAUCCAAUGAAAUGAAUCACCAAGGCUGGAAUUUCCAACUUAUUAGUGAAUUUCCAUAUGAGACCACUUUUGUUUGUUCAGACACAGGACUCAGAGAAAUUACUAUUCAUGCGAAAGAUUAGGAAAUUGUUCCCAUGGGUGGAAAUUGCAGAAAUCAGGAUGCCGAGAAAAACAGCAACCUGUCAUUUUGGCAAAUGUUACUGGUCACGUCCCAGAUGGAAUACCAAUCAGUCAAAUCCUAUUAGGAUGAAGAGUGGUGGAUGGUCACAUACCCUAGAUUUCCUGUUGGCUGGAUGUGGGGACAUCAGUGUCAUUGUUAACAACUUCUGUACUUGGACCAAUAAAGUCAAGAAGGCUGAACAAGCUGUGAAGUGCAUAAUGGAAGAAUCUGUCUAGCUUUCAGUUUGAUUCUUAUGGCUUCCAGGAUUUGUUCUUUUUAUCUGGCUUGGGCAAAUGGGGUUCCUCAAUUGAGGUACUUUUUUUUAGGUACCUUAACUUGUUCUUUGUU